UUAAUUGGUGCUCGCUAAAUAUACUAAAAUUAAAAACAAUACACAGUAGAUUAGCAUGGCCUCUGCACAAGGAUGACACACAAAUGUGUGAAACAUUCCAUAUUAAA